GAUGAAGAACGCAGCGAAAUGCGAUAAGUAAUGCGAAUUGCAGAAUUCAGUGAGUCAUCGAAUCUUUGAACGCACAUUGCGCCCUGUGGUAUUCCGCAGGGCAUGCCUGUUCGAGCGUCAUUUCAACCCUCAAGCCUCGCUUGGUGUUGGGCCCUGCCCGCCGCGGCCGGCCCUAAAGAUAGUGGCGGCGCCGCCUGGCCCUCAGCGUAGUACAGCUCUCGCUCCAGGGUCCGGCGGCAGCCUGCCAGAACCCCCCCACUCUGUGGUUGACCUCGGAUCAGGUAGGGAUACCCGCUGAACUUAAGCAUAUCAAUAAGCGGAGGA
rnacentral:misc_RNA from 1 species